rnacentral:rRNA from 1 species
AUUGAACGCUGGCGGCAGGCCUAACACAUGCAAGUCGAGCGGAGCGGCGGACGGGCGAGUAAUGCCUAGGAAUCUGCCUGGUAGUGGGGGAUAACGUCCGGACACGGGCGCUAAUACCGCAUACUCUCAGCUGUGCCUAGGUCGGAUUAGCUAGUUGGUGGGGGAAAGGCCUACCAAGGCGACGAUCCGUAACUGGUCUGAGAGGAUGACCAGUCACAAUGGAACUGAGACACGGUCCAGACUCCGACGUGCGGCAGCCGUGGGGAAUAUUGGACAAUGGGCGAAAGCCUUAUCCAGCAAUGCCGCGUGAGUGAAGAAGGUCUUCGGAUGGUAAAGCACUUUAAGUUGAGAGGCGUUACCAACAGAAUAAGCACCGGCUAACUUCGUGCCAGCAGCCGCGGUAAUAC